AGCUCCACGGGUCCACCGCGCGCGGUCAGCGGGUAGUCGCGCAUGGCGAUCGCGUGCCGGCCCUC
rnacentral:sRNA from 1 species